GACGAACGCUGGCGGCGUGCUUAACACAUGCAAGUCGAACGGAAAGGCCCUGCUUUUGUGGGGUGCUCGAGUGGCGAACGGGUGAGUAACACGUGAGUAACCUGCCCUUGACUUUGGGAUAACUUCAGGAAACUGGGGCUAAUACCGGAUAGGAGCUCCUGCUGCAUGGUGGGGGUUGGAAAGUUUCGGCGGUUGGGGAUGGACUCGCGGCUUAUCAGCUUGUUGGUGGGGUAGUGGCUUACCAAGGCUUUGACGGGUAGCCGGCCUGAGAGGGUGACCGGCCACAUUGGGACUGAGAUACGGCCCAGACGCCUACGGGAGGCAGCAGUGGGGAAUAUUGCACAAUGGGCGGAAGCCUGAUGCAGCAACGCCGCGUGCGGGAUGACGGCCUUCGGGCUGUAAACCGCUUUCGCCUGUGACGAAGCGUGAGUGACGGUAAUGGGUAAAGAAGCACCGGCUAACUACG
rnacentral:rRNA from 1 species